AACAAUGCCCAAGGUGAUAUAAGAUUGGAAACACUCUAAUUUAUGAUCACUCAAUGAUCAAAAGAUUCCAAACUUAACAUUGCGAAAGUUGGAAUUGAAGUCAAGAUGAAGGCAAUGAUAGGUAAAUUAAUUUCUCAAUCAAAUGGACGAACAACUGAGUUCGAAUCUCUCAAACAAACUUAAUCCUCGGUAAUAUAUAAACCAAAAAUUUUUUGCAUACUUAAGAUCUAAAGACAAAAAUAUUUUUUAUCAUAUUUGUCUCCUCCUUCUUCUUCAAUGUAUUGGCUUCAUCCGGCUUCUUAUUCUACUUAUGGUUUUUCUUUUCUUUGUUUUUGUCAUCUAUCCUCUUUGUAUUUUCCAACUUUUCUCCAUUGUCUUAGUCUUCGUCUUCCUCUUUUUAUUUAUCUUUAAGUUUUUCUUAUUCGUCGUCUUUUUGAUUUCAUCAGUUUUGGCUUCUACAAAUUUAUUUUAAUUUUUUCUUUUUUUCACCUUUCCGAUUUUUUCUUCGUCAUUUUACUAUAUUUUUCUCCUCCCUCUUCUACAUUAUUUUCUUUCAGAAUUUGUGAUUUAGCACCCAUAAGAGAGUAGAGAGACACCAAAUAUAAAAUAUAUGUAUGGUUUCUAGCUAGGUGGUGAGAUAAUAUAUAUGUACGUCUUCUGGUCAGAGAUAUAGUAAUCAAUUUGACUUUGGAUUGUUUCUUGUCAUUAAUUUAGUCACCAUAUAUAUUGAUCUGAUCGAACAAAGUGAGACAUUAAUAAAGCUGAUCGAGUGAGUGAUGUUCAAGAAAUCUUUUGUUUUUGUUUUUGUUUUGGUAGCUGUAGUAGUAAUUGGAGAUGAGAAAAAGAAAACGACGCCUAGGACCUUGCGGCUUGUUGGCUGAGUUUUUGAACAGGGAAUUUUUCCACUACACUUAUGUGAUCUUUUGCCUUUUUCUCUACAGCCUUAUUUCGACUUGAUUGGUCUCAUUUAAUUAUGUUGAUGUCACUUUUCUUUUAUCUUUUCCAUUUCAUUACGUAAUUUUUUUUCCUCUUUGAUCAUUGUAAUCGGCUAUAAAGCCCACUUAUGAAUCUUUUGUUCAUAUCAAUAAGGAACUAGAGUUUUUCUUAAACC
rnacentral:lncRNA from 1 species